AGAACACGCCCAGAAAUCGCUGAAAAAUAUUCUAACAAGUGUCUAGCUGUAAGGUCCAGUCAAAGUUAUAUGUAAAAAAUCUUAUAUUCGUCACCGAAUAUUAGAUUUGUUUUAAUCUUAGCAAGACAGUUGUGCUUGGUAUGCACUGUAGCUAUAUGUUUCAGUGAGAGUGUUAAACGUUUGAUAGCUAGUUAGCAAGAGAGACCACUCACAAUCCGUCUUGAUCUGCACUGCCAGCAUUUGAAGAGCGAGCUUGGGAGGAUGACCAAAAACAAAAGCAAACCACAAGUUUCACACCUCCCCAGCCGAGGUCACUCAGGUCAAGGAAGAGAAAGUGCAGUGAUGAGUCAGAGGAGAGCGCCCCCUCUGGAGAGACAGUGGAAGCACAGCCCUCACACCUAGAACAGCAGGACACUGAGGGAACAGUGUUAAACACCACCUCUCCUCCUAAAGAUCCCCACUGCCCUCUGACAGCCUGUACUACUCAUCCAUCUCAGCAGGCUAACAAAGCGGGAGAUACCACUGCACCCAAGCAAGAGGGGGAUCCAGUGGAGGAAAGUCCGGUUGUGACUGGCUUUGAGGGAGAACAAGCCAUUGGAGGGGCUGUGGAGGGGGCGGGCACAGAGGAGUCAGUUCCAACCAAUCAGGAUGACCAUAGUGUGGAGUACUCUGUCAAAGAUGACGAGGGUAGAGAAGAAGAAGACAUCAAGACACAGAGUUUCCUUAGCUUCCCCCACACCCACUGACUGUAGCACAGCCCCAACCCCAGCCCUCCCUGCUUCCCUCCAAGGAGGUCAACGUUGGGGACGGCGACAGUCAAACCGACAAGGAAGAGGAGCAGUGUGGAGAGAAGAACCCAAAGCCCAAUAUGGAGGAGCUCGACAGUGAACAGCAGGAGGCUAUAGAUGACAGAGGUGUUUGUCUGGGUGGUGGGAGGGAGGGGCCACCAGUGGAGGAGGACAGAUCUGUGGAAGAACCAGUGAAGAAGAGGAGAAGGAGAAUGGGGAUGUGUGGUCUGGGAGAGAGAGAGAGGAGAGGGAUAGAGGAGCAGUGGCAGAAGGAACGAAAGAGUGUGACGGAAGGAGGGAGGGAGGGAGAAGAGAUGGUGCUGGUGAGGAAAGCGGAGGAGGAGAAAGUGGAGAAAGAGAGAGAGGAGGACAUCGGGCAGAGUGGUGAUAGUGGUGGUGGUGGUUGUGCCAACCUGGUGGCUGUAGAGGGAACUACAGCAGCAUCAUCCUCUGAUCCGUCCCUCCUUUCAUUCAUCCCUCCAUCCGCUCCUCUGGGGAGUACCACUGAGCAGAGGAAGGAAGAGGGGGAGAAGUUAGAUGAGGAGCAGCUUCAGUCAGGGGGAGAGGCCAGCCAUGCAGACCCCAGCGACGUGGCUUAUUCUGGGACAGAGCAGGUCACAGGAGAGGGUCUCCGGACUGGCCUGGAGGUGGACCCACUGAGUGAGCAGCCUGUGGUGUUGGUGGAAGAAGAGCUAGACACAGAG